GAGUCUCCUGAAGGAACGUUGAAGACGACGACGUUGAUAGGCCGGGUGUGUAAGCGCAGCGAUGCGUUGAGCUAACCGGUACUAAUGAACCGUGAGGCUUAACCUUACAACGCCGAAGGUGUUU
rnacentral:rRNA from 2 species